rnacentral:rRNA from 1 species
AGUGAACGCUGGCGGUAGGCCUAACACAUGCAAGUCGAACGGCAGCACAGUAAGAGCUUGCUCUUACGGGUGGCGAGUGGCGGACGGGUGAGGAAUACAUCGGAAUCUACUUUUUCGUGGGGGAUAACGUAGGGAAACUUACUCUAAUACCGCAUACGACCUACGGUUGAAAGCAGGGGAUCUUCGGACCUUGCGCGAUUGAAUGAGCCGAUGUCGGAUUAGCUAGUUGGCGGGGUAGAGGCCCACCAAGGCGACGAUCCGUAGCUGGUCUGAGAGGAUGAUCAGCCACACUGGAACUGAGACACGGUCCAGACUCCUACGGGAGGCAGCAGUGGGGAAUAUUGGACAAUGGGCGCAAGCCUGAUCCAGCCAUACCGCGUGGGUGAAGAAGGCCUUCGGGUUGUAAAGCCCUUUUGUUGGGAAAGAAAAGCAGCAGGUUAAUACCCCGCUGUUCUGACGGUACCCAAAGAAUAAGCACCGGCUAACUUCGUG